rnacentral:lncRNA from 1 species
UCAAUCUCUGACACGCUGAGAAGAAAAAAUAAUAAGUCAAAUCCGUCCAGCCAGUCUGAACGAGAGAGGGAAGGAGGUGAUAUCUCCCUCACCUGAAUAGGAGAAAGAGGGAAAGCGAGAGAGAGAGAGAGAAUAGUGAGAGGGGGUGAGAGAAAGUGAAUGAGAACAAGAGAUGGAGAGGUGGGAAAAAGUGAGGGAGAAGACAGGGAGACAGAGAGAGAGUGUGUGAGUGAAAGACAAAGCGAGGGAGAAGACAGGGAGACAGAGAGAGAGUGCGUGAGAAAGACAAAGCGAGGAGGAGAGAGAAUGAUAGAAAAAGAGGGCAAGAGAAAGAGAGCAGUCUGAUGAAUUGAGACAGAGCCGACUGACCGCAGGUCAUUAAGCUGCCAUUGGACUGAGCAGUUAUAUACCCUCAUCACCCACAGCCAAUGAAGUCCAUUCAGCCAGCCUUCAGUCAGGACUCUGGGAGCCCGCCUGGACCAGUGAUCUGGAAUGGCCUCCUCAGCCUCCUAUGGAGACCUGGAGAACAAGAGACAUGGAGGCAGAGAGACCCCAAGUCUCCCGGCUCCUACGUCCUGAACCCCUACUGCUCCUGCUGCCCCCUAGCAUCCUCGUCUUUACUGAGACCUCCCCUGUAGACACUGGACUGCACACAGCACAAUCUGAGGCGGUUGGUGUCAUGGCUUGCUGAAAUGAAAUGGAGUGACUCAGUGACAAUUUGAAG